GAGGUUAUAGCUCAGUGGUAGAGUGUGUGCUUAGUAUGCACAAGGUCCUGGGUUCAAUCCCUAGUACCACCA
rnacentral:tRNA from 1 species